GAAUAUUAUGCAAAAGGCUGAAAGCUUCUAACUUUUUCCUAAGCGGUUGAACUCCGUUUAUAUUCCU
rnacentral:tRNA from 1 species